UGAGGGUGGGACGGUGGCCAUUUUGAGUGGGGCUGAGUUGAGGGUGGGACGGUGGCCAUUUUGAGUGGGGCUGAGUUGAGGGUGGGACGGUGGCCAUUUUGAGUGGGGCUGAGUUGAGGGUGGGCCGGUGGCCAUUUUGAGUGGGGCUGAGUUGAGGGUGGGACGGUGGCCAUUUUGAGUGGGGCUGAGUUGAGGGAGGCUCAGGUGCCAUUUUGAGUGGGGCUGAGUUGAGGGUGGGACGGUGGCCAUUUUGAGUGGGGCUGAGUUGAGGGGAGGCUCAGUGGCCAUUUUGAGUGGGGCAGCAGCGACUAGCCAAGUUAUUUCAGCCCCCCCGGACCUAAUCCAGUCUAUUUUUUUUUUCUUUUCAAACUCAGCGCUUGAGGUCAACGUCUCUUUUUACCCCGUGCAUCGUGUUUUAAGUGAAGGGUAGGGUGGCCAUUUGUGGGUUUGGGUGGGGUUGUCGAGUGGCCUUUUUUUGCGAUGGGCAUGGAGCGGCCAUUUUGGGAUGGGCAGGGGCGGCCAUUUUGGGAUGGGCAGGGGGCGGCCAUUUUGGGACGGGCAUUUAAUUCCUGAUCUUGACAAAGAGGCUGAAAAGUCGAAGAUUUUUAAGCCGCGGAGGUGUUUUUUUUAAUUUAUUGUUUCCUCCUUGUGUGGCACGCUGCAAAAUGCUUCCCCCGUCAAUCGUCUACUGAUGUUCCGACCUUAUGUUCCUGUCUGAAUAAAUACGAAUGCUGCCACA